rnacentral:rRNA from 1 species
AUGGACGCAGGCUCAGCCACCUGCGCGCGGCCACUGACGCACCCAAUGCGGCGCUACCGCCGACCACCCGCUCAUGCCGCCGUGGUCAGCCGCACCGUCAUGCCCAUCUCGAUCACGCCCUUCUCCCCUCCUCUCUCCCUACUCACGAGCAGUCUUAUCGAGGAAACCCGACGCCGACCAGCCGGCCACGGACAGUGGCAGCGUUCGUCCCUGAGUCUCAAGGUACGCCGUACAGAGGGGAUCAAGCUGUAUAUUGCUAUGUGGAAUGCUUUGAUUCAAUGGUGUUGUCGGGUUGGGAGCAUGAAACAUGCUCUGUAG